CCCCCCCCAUUUAAGAAAGUUCUAAUAUCUUCUAAGUGGUAAAGAUCCCCACCCCUAAACCAUAUAUAUUCUGGUUUGUCAUGCGAAGAUGGUUUGAAUGAUAUACAGGGUUAGUCCCCAGGGGUCAUCCCGACCCCCUGCCAUUUGAGAAAGUUCUAAUAUCUUGUAAAUUGUUGAGAUCCCCACCCCUAAACCAUAUAUAUUCCUAUUUGUGAUGUCUCGAACAUUUGAAUGACGUAUACGGUCAGUCCCCAGGGGUUCCCCCCACCCCCAAUGUUCUAAUAUCUUGUAAAUGGUUGAGAUCCCUACCCCUUAACCAUAUAUAUUCCUGUUCGUCAUGUAAUGAACAUUUGAAUGACGUAUAGGGCCAGUCCCCAGGGGUUCCUCCCCACCUCCAAUGUUCUAGUAUCUUGUAAAUGGUCGAGAUUCCCACCCCUAAACCAUAUAUAUUCUGGUUUGUCAUGCCAAGAUGAUUUGAAUGAUAUACAAGGUUAGUCCCCAGACAUCACUAAUGCAUAUAACUUUACUGGACCAAACCAAUUUUCACUGGACGUUGCCCAAUGUCAGGCGACCCUGGGAAUUACGAAUUAUGGGAGCUUCGUUUGGGAGACUUCGUAACAGCAUCCUGUUACAAUCAUUUCUUGUUUAUAAAUAAAAUUAUCCUUUUUUUUUCUAAAUUUUAAAUAAAUAUGUUGAAAAAAAAACUUGCAAUUCAUCUCAAAAUUAAAUUUCAAAAAACCAACACAUCUUUUUUAAAACUUUGGAAUUAAUUGGCAAAUUCUGAAAUAAACUGCAUGUAAAGGCAUGAGGAUAAUAGAAUUGAGAAAAGAUAUGAUAACUCUUGAUUCAACUAGAUAAAAAUAACAGUGUAAAUGGACUUUUCUAGUAUCAACCUCACAGUCAUGCCUGUUUUAAAUAUAUUGACUUGAAUGGACAAAUUGUUUGAGGAUACAUGUGACCAGUCAGAUUAAUUAGUGGACAAUGAAAUACUCAAAUGAUGGAACUGGCAGGAAUAGACAUAAUUCAGAUUUAACCAGCUUUUAACCUGAGCAAGUGAAUGAUGGACAUUUAUAAUGAUGUGACCAGUAUUCAUGUGGAUGGACAGUGCUAGUAGGAUAUAUACUGAUUAAUCCCCAGAAAGGCACAUCAAAACUGGGUCUGAAGCUUUUACAUGCAAAAGAUGAGUUAUCCUGGACAUUUUGAAGACAUGUAAAUGAUCUAUUGAAGUAAGGACAGUAGGACCUGGAAGUCAUAUCUUACCAACUUUGAGCUUACACAGUAUAAUGUCUAUGAUUGGAAGGGAACAUUCAGAUGAGACUGAGCUUGGAAAUUUACAAAUCAACUGAUGAAGAAGAAGGGAUUCUGUUGAUCUGAGGAACUUGGACACAUUUAUUGACAAACAAUAUAUGUAGUAUUACAGUUAUGUUUCAAUAGAGAGAGGGGAGAGCCAGUUGUAAAGAUUUAUUCUUUCUCAACCAGACAUGUUGACUACAUUAGAAUUUCAUAGGCCUGCAGUUCUCCCUUAAAUGGUCAUAGUUAAUACAUGUAGUGUUUAAAGUAUAAUUUAAUGUAAGACUUUGAUGUGACCAGUGAGAACAAUCAACUGCCAUUGGUUUAAUUCUCUUUUUUUCAAAUAUGUUUCUAUGUGGGUACAGUGUCUAUUUGAAACAAGACCUGUAUUAAUUGAUCACUAAAAAUUAAAUUGAGCAGAUUUGGUUUAAAAAAGAAUAAAUCUGGAUGGAAAAAAGAAAAAAUGUAAUAUAUUAUUCAUUUGAAUUUUGUACAAUUUCAUCUGGCAAUCUUAUUUACAUAUUAGAGUAGUUAUAUGUGAAAAAAGCGACUACAUGCAUGUAUAAAAGUGAGACAUUUAUAUAAUACCAUUAUGGAAUAUGGAAUUUAUUUUUCUACAUUAUAAUAUACCUGUAAAAUUUUUUAAACCUUUCAUUUUUUGUGAUUAAAGGACAAACA